CGAGUCGGGGCCGAAGGCCGGCCCGCGCCAUCCGUCCCACCCCCACACGCCGGCUCCUCUCAGGCGUGUGCCCAACGGUGAAGGCCCCCGGCUGCUCCGCGCCCUCGGGGCCUAGAGUGCCACAGGGCGAGGACCGGGCCGCAGCCCCGCACCGCGUGGACGCGCUGCCUCUCCCGCAGCCGCCGCCACCGCCAGAGAGAGCAGCUGCGAACGACCCGAGGCUGCGCGGCGGAGGCCCCCAAGGCGGCUGGCGGCCGGGGAGGAAGGAGACGGAACUGACCUCUGCCCGCCUGAGGCGCGGCUGCUGCCGCGCGCCCGGGGCCGGCGCCGCCCCCGGGCUGAGGGAGGAAUGAGCAGGCGCCUGCCCCGGGCUCUCGGACCUNAGGGCCGCGGCUCGGCUGCUUCUUACGUCUCCGGGCUGCGGAGGCUCGGUGGCCGGGCCCGGGUGCGGCGGGGUCAGCGGCGGCCUCUCUUGGGGAGUCGGCGCCGGGGUUAACUUAACCGGCCGCCGAGAGGAGGAGGAGCCGGGCGGGGGCGGUCGACGCACCUCCCCUCCCCCAGCACACGCCGGGGCUUCUCAGAGGCCGCGGAGGAGGAAGUUCCGCUCUCUGACAGACCCGAGCGGUAGCAACAGCGGCCGCGGCUGGGAGGGCGCAGGUAUUUUGGACGCGAAUGCCCUUCGCGCCGACUGUCGAGGGGGCAGCGUCGGAGCCUGCCCUCGGAGCCGGGGGACAGGGUCCGGAGGCGCGGGCGUUGGAGCCCUCUUUCCUGCUUUUCACCCAGCGUCGCUCUUUUGGCUUCGCGCUGAGGCGGGAGACCCCUCCUCUCGGUUGGCCGACUUCGGAAGAGCCCCUUGUUUUUCAACCACUGAGAUUAAGAAAUUCUCCAAUCGAAGCAUCAGAGGAGCCCAAGUGAACCUUCUACAACUCUGGGAUCACGUCAGUCACCCUUUGGGGGCGGGAGACCACGCUGGAGCAUCUCCCUGAGGUGCAGGAAUGGAAGAGCCCACCUUGUAUCCUUUCUGCAGUGUUGCUUGGCCGAUCUACCCUUGGGAAUGAAGAGGAGACUUGUAAUCACCCGGUGAGGUACCGAAAGCCAGAUGGCAAAAGAAAAUAUCACAGGACUUAAACUAGUGAUCGUUUUGGGGCCACACGCGUUUCUGCAUGUAAUUGAAUGAGCGUGAAAGAGGUACCCUAUUGAAAAGCACAACAGUCCUUUAAGAGGAGAAAAAUUGAAUUUCCCCAUUUUUGCCAAGAUUCCGAAGACUGUUCAAUGUAUCGUACGUUUGAUAUAAGAUGAGAACUUUAUGAAAUAU
rnacentral:lncRNA from 1 species